rnacentral:rRNA from 1 species
GGUAACCUGCCCUUAAGUCAGGGAUACCAUUUGGAAACAGAUGCUAAUACCGGAUAAAAGCUACUUUCGCAUGAAAGAAGUUUAAAAGGCGGCGUAAGCUGUCGCUAAAGGAUGGACCUGCGAUGCAUUAGCUAGUUGGUAAGGUAACAGCUUACCAAGGCGAUGAUGCAUAGCCGAGUUGAGAGACUGAUCGGCCACAUUGGGACUGAGACACGGCCCAA